rnacentral:rRNA from 1 species
GAUGAACGCUGGCGGCGUGCUUAACACAUGCAAGUCGAACGGGAUCGGCUGGAGCUUGCUCCGGCCGUGAGAGUGGCGAACGGGUGAGUAAUGCGUGACCGACCUGCCCCAUACACCGGAAUAGCUCCUGGAAACGGGUGGUAAUGCCGGAUGCUCCGACAUGACGCAUGUCGUGUUGGGAAAGAUUCAUCGGUAUGGGAUGGGGUCGCGUCCUAUCAGGUAGUCGGCGGGGUAACGGCCCACCGAGCCUACGACGGGUAGCCGGCCUGAGAGGGCGACCGGCCACAUUGGGACUGAGGUACGGCCCAGACUCCUACGGGAGGCAGCAGUGGGGAAUAUUGCACAAUGGGCGCAAGCCUGAUGCAGCGACGCCGCGUGCGGGAUGACGGCCUUCGGGUUGUAAACCGCUUUUGACUGGGAGCAAGCCCU